rnacentral:misc_RNA from 1 species
UCCGAGUUGUCCCCUGGGGGCCAAUCGUCGAUUAGCCAUGCAGCACCUGUGCUGGCCCCUUACGGACACGGGCUUUCACCCGCUUUAACCAGCAUGUCAAGCCCAGGUAAGGUUCUUCGCGUUGCAUCGAAUUGAGCCACAUGCUCCGCCGCUUGUGCGGGCCCCCGUCAAUUCCUUUGAGUUUUAGCCUUGCGGCCGUACUCCCCAGGCGGGAUGCUUAAUGCGUUAGCUUCGGCACAGAGGGGGUUGAAGACCCCCCCACACCUAGCAUCCAACGUUUACGGCUGGGACUAC